GAUGAAGAACGUAGCGAAAUGCGAUACUUGGUGUGAAUUGCAGAAUCCCGUGAACCAUCGAGUCUUUGAACGCAAGUUGCGCCCGAAGCCAUUAGGCCGAGGGCACGCCUGCCUGGGUGUCACACACCGUUACCCUCGCGCCAACGUCCAUCGUUGGCCGCGGCGCGGGGCGUGCGCUGACCUCCCGCGAGCGGGGUCUCGUGGUUGGUUGAAAAUCGAGUUCGCGGUCGAGGGUGCCGUGAUGAAAUGGUGGAUGGGCGACGCCCGAGGCCAAUCACGCGCGACUCUGUCCGGCUCGGACNCCUGGACCCCUUCGGCGUCUCCGGACGCUCUUUGGCGAGACCUCAGGUCAGGCGGGGCUACCCGCUGAGUUUAAGCAUAUCAAUAAGCGGAGGA
rnacentral:misc_RNA from 1 species